UUGGAUCUCAAAUCAGACAAGACGACCCGC
rnacentral:rRNA from 1 species